rnacentral:rRNA from 1 species
UGAAUACGAGACGCUAAGGCGUCGAAGUAGUGUAUGUCAUACUUCCAAGAAAAGCUUGCACUGUCAUAGAUAAAAAACGCCUGUACCAUAACCGACACAGGUGGGUAGGUAGAGUAUACUAAGGGGCGCGAGAUAACUCUCUCUAAGGAACUCGGCAAAAUAACUCCGUAACUUCGGGAGAAGGAGUGCCUUAUUCGUAAGGUUGCAAUAACAAGAUCCAAGCAACUGUUUAUCAAAAACACAGGUCUCCGCUAAGUCGUAAGACGAUGUAUGGGGGCUGACGCCUGCCCAGUGCCAGAAGGUUAAAGAAGUUGGUUAGCAAUUGCGAAGCUGAUAACUGAAGCCCUGGUGAACGGCGGCCGUAACGAUAACGGUCCUAAGGUAGCGAAAUUCCUUGUCGGGUAAGUUCCGACCCGCACGGAAGGCGUAAUGAUUUGGAUACUGUCUCGGAGAGGGGCUCGGUGAAAUAGACUUGUCUGUGAAGAUGCGGACUACCUGCACCAGGACAGAAAGACCCUAUGAAGCUUUACUGUAACUUGAAAUUGAAAUUGGACUUUAUUCGCGCAGUAUAGGUGGGAGGCGUUGAUUAUAAUCUUGUGGGAUUAUUGGAGCCAUCAGUGAGAUACCACUCUUGUAAUGUUAGAUUUCUAACUUUGAAUCAUUAUCUGGUCAAAGAACAGUUUCAGGCGGGCAGUUUGACUGGGGCGGUCGCCUCCUAAACGGUAACGGAGGCGUACAAAGGUUUCCUCUGAACGGUUAGAAAUCGUAUCUAGAGUGUAAAGGCAUAAGGAAGCUUGACUGUGAGACCUACAAGUCGAGCAGGGACGAAAGUCGGUCUUAGUGAUCUGACGGUACUGAGUGGAAAGGCCGUCACUCAACGGAUAAAAGUUACUCUAGGAUAACAGGCUGAUCUCCCCCAAGAGUUCACAUCGACGGGGAGGUUUGGCACCUCGAUGUCGGCUCAUCGCAUCCUGGGGCGGUAGUACGUCCCAAGGGUUGGGCUGUUCGCCCAUGAAAGCGGUACGCGAGCUGGGUUCAGAACGUCGUGAGACAGUUCGGUCCAUAUCCGGUGUAGGCGUUAGAAUAUUGAGAGGAGCCUUCUUUAGUACGAGAGGACCGAGAAGGACAUACCUCUGGUGUACCAGUUAUCGUGCCAACGGUAAACGCUGGGUAGCUAUGUAUGGAGUGGAUAACCGCUGAAAGCAUCUAAGUGGGAAGCCCACCUCAAGAUAAGUAUUCU